CGAUUAAGUAGUGAAGGGCGCACGGUGGAUGCCUUGGCACCAAGAGCCGACGAAGGACGGAACAAACACCGAAAUGCUUUGGGGAGCUGUAAGUAAGCUGUGAUCCGAAGAUAUCCGAAUGGGGGAACCCGGCAUUUAAUAAUGUCACUCAUAUAUGAACUGAUUAGUAUAUGAGAGGUAGACCUGGGGAACUGAAACAUCUUAGUACCCAGAGGAAGAGAAAGUAAACACGAUUCCCGUAGUAGCGGCGAGCGAAGUGGGAAGAGCCCAAACCAGUAUAGACUGGGGUUGUAGGACUUCAACGUGUGACACGACGAUUUAGUGGAAUAAUAUGGAAAGAUUAACCAUAGGGGGUAACAGUCCCGUACACGACAAAUUGAAGUGCACUAGAAGUAUCCUGAGUACGGCGGAACACGAGGAAUUCCGUCGGAAUCUGGGAGGACCAUCUCCUAAGGCUAAAUACUCCUUGGUGACCGAUAGUGAACCAGUACCGUGAGGGAAAGGUGAAAAGCACCCCGGGAGGGGAGUGAAAUAGAACCUGAAACCGUGUGCCUACAAGUAGUCAGAGCCCUAAGUGGGUGAUGGCGUGCCUUUUGUAUAAUGAACCGGCGAGUUACGCAUACAUGCAAGGUUAAGCAGGGAAUGUGGAGCCGUAGCGAAAGCGAGUCUGAAAUGGGCGAGUAGUAUGUGUGUGUAGACCCGAAACCAGGUGAUCUACCCAUGACCAGGUUGAAGUCCAGGUAACACUGGAUGGAGGACCGAACCGACUUAUGUUAAAAAAUGACCGGAUGAGUUGUGGGUAGGGGUGAAAUUCCAAUCGAACCUGGAGAUAGCUGGUUCUCUCCGAAAUAUAUUUAGGUAUAGCCUCAUAUUAUCAUCGUGGAGGUAGAGCACUGUUUGGAUAAGGGGCCCAUCCCGGGUUACCGAGUUCAGACAAACUCCGAAUGCCAUCGAUGAGAUGUAUGGGAGUCAGACAGUGGGUGAUAAGGUCCAUUGUCGAAAGGGAAACAGCCCAGACCACCAGUUAAGGUCCCCAAAUAUAUGUUAAGUGGAAAAGGAUGUGGCGUUGCCCAGACAACUAGGAUGUUGGCUUAGAAGCAGCCAUCAUUUAAAGAGUGCGUAAUAGCUCACUAGGGAGCGUAUAGAAGUGAGAAUGCCGGUGUGAGUAGCGCAAGACGGGUGAGAAUCCCGUCCACCGAAUGACUAAGGUUUCCAGAGGAAGGCUCGUCCGCUCUGGGUAAGUCGGGACCUAAGCCGAGGCAAAUAGCGUAGGCGAUGGACAACAGGUAGAAAUUCCUGUACCGGUGUAACACGUAUGAGUGAAGUGGUGACGCAGGAGGAGAAUCGAAUCGCACAAAUGGACGUGCGUGCAAGUGACAAGCUGUCAUACCAGGCAAAUCCGGUAUGAGUGUAAGGUGAGUCAUGAUGCGGAGGGAAAUGACCCGAAGAUCGAUAUUCACACUGCCAAGAAAACCCGCUAGCGAGUGUUAGACUGCCCGUACCGCAAACCGACACAGGUAGUUGGGAAGAGAAUUCUAAGGUGAGCGAGCGAACUCUCGUUAAGGAACUCGGCAAAAUGACCCCGUAACUUCGGGAGAAGGGGUGCUCAUGAAAAUGAGCCGCAGUGAAUAGGCCCAAGCGACUGUUUAUCAAAAACAUAGGUCUCUGCCAAACCGAAAGGUGACGUAUAGGGGCUGACGCCUGCCCGGUGCUGGAAGGUUAAGAGGCGU
rnacentral:rRNA from 1 species